rnacentral:rRNA from 1 species
GACGAACGCUGGCGGCGUGCUUAACACAUGCAAGUCGAACGAGGUAGCAAUACCUAGUGGCGGACGGGUGAGUAACACGUAGGUAACCUGCCCUAUCGUGGGGGAUACCCAGUCGAAAGACUGGCUAAUACCGCAUACGCUCGUCGGAUGAGAUACCGAUGAGGAAAGAUUUAUCGCGAUGGGAGGGGCCUGGGUCCGAUUAGCUAGUUGGUGGGGUAAUGGCUCACCAAGGCGACGAUCGGUAGCUGGUCUGAGAGGACGAUCAGCCACACUGGAACUGAGACACGGUCCAGACUCCUACGGGAGGCAGCAGUGGGGAAUUUUCCGCAAUGGGCGAAAGCCUGACGGAGCAACGCCGCGUGGAUGAUGAAGUCUUUCGGGACGUAAAAUCCUUUCAGCAGGGACGAAGCGAGUGACGGUACCUGCAGAAGAAGCAUCGGCUAACUACGUGCCAGCCGCCGCAGUAAGAC